UGGGGAAUAUUGGACAAUGGGCGAAAGCCUGAUCCAGCCAUGCCGCGUGUGUGAAGAAGGUCUUCGGAUUGUAAAGCACUUUAAGUUGGGAGGAAGGGCAUUAACCUAAUACGUUAGUGUUUUGACGUUACCGACAGAAUAAGCACCGGCUAACUCUGUGCCAGCAGCCGCGGUAAUACAGAGGGUGCCAGCGUUAAUCGGAAUUACUGGGCGUAAAGCGCGCGUAGGUGGUUUGUUAAGUUGGAUGUGAAAUCCCCGGGCUCAACCUGGGAACUGCAUUCAAAACUGACUGACUAGAGUAUGGUAGAGGGUGGUGGAAUUUCCUGUGUAGCGGUGAAAUGCGUAGAUAUAGGAAGGAACACCAGUGGCGAAGGCGACCACCUGGACUAAUACUGACACUGAGGUGCGAAAGCGUGGGGAGCAAACA
rnacentral:rRNA from 1 species